ACGCUGGCGGCAGGCCUAACACAUGCAAGUCGAGCGGUAGAGAGAAGCUUGCUUCUCUUGAGAGCGGCGGACGGGUGAGUAAUGCCUAGGAAUCUGCCUGGUAGUGGGGGAUAACGUUCGGAAACGGACGCUAAUACCGCAUACGUCCUACGGGAGAAAGCAGGGGACCUUCGGGCCUUGCGCUAUCAGAUGAGCCUAGGUCGGAUUAGCUAGUUGGUGAGGUAAUGGCUCACCAAGGCGACGAUCCGUAACUGGUCUGAGAGGAUGAUCAGUCAUACUGGAACUGAGACACGGUCCAGACUCCUACGGGAGGCAGCAGUGGGGAAUAUUGGACAAUGGGCGAAAGCCUGAUCCGGCCAUGCCGCGUGUGUGAAGAAGGUCUUCGGAUCGUAAAGCACUUUAAGUUGGGAGGAAGGGUUGUAGAUUAAUACUCUGCAAUUUUGACGUUACCGACAGAAUAAGCACCGGCUAACUCUGUGCCAGCAGCCGCGGUAAUACAGAGGGUGCAAGCGUUAAUCGGAAUUACUGGGCGUAAAGCGCGCGUAGGUGGUUUGUUAAGUUGGAUGUGAAAUCCCCGGGCUCAACCUGGGAACUGCAUUCAAAACUGACUGACUAGAGUAUGGUAGAGGGUGGUGGAAUUUCCUGUGUAGCGGUGAAAUGCGUAGAUAUAGGAAGGAACACCAGUGGCGAAGGCGACCACCUGGACUAAUACUGACACUGAGGUGCGAAAGCGUGGGGAGCAAAC
rnacentral:rRNA from 1 species